rnacentral:lncRNA from 1 species
CAAAUGGCAUCUCCCAGCCUUGGUUUGCUCAUCUGUGAGACAGGGAGGCUAAAUGUGGCUUUUAGAAGAUGCAGUGAGGGGCCGGGCAUAGUAGCUCACGUCUGUCAUCCCAGCACUUUGGGAGGCCGAGGCGGGUGGAUCACCUGAGGUCAGGGGUUUGAGACCAGCCUGGCCAACAUGCUGAAAAUCCGUCUCUAAUAAAAAUACAAAAAUUAGCCGGGCGUGGUGGCGGGUGCCUGUAAUCCCAGCUACUUGGGAGGCUGAGGCAGGAGAAUCGCUUGAACCCAGGAGGCGGAGGUUGCAGUGAGCCAAGAUGGCACCGCUGUACUCCAGCCUGGGCAACAGAGCAAGACUCCAUCUCAAAAAAAAAAAGAAAGAAAGAAAGAAAGAAAGAACGAAAGAAAGAGAAAUUCCAGGGUAGGUGGGGUGCAGACGGGACCCUCACGGCAAUAGGGAAUCACGGCAGGUUCUGGAGCCCAGUGGCUAAGCUUCCUCUGAGGGGCUUCCUCUGAGGGCCACAUAAGGAAUGGGCCUGGGCUGGGCUGUGGCAGAUGUCCAGGUGCAGAUGGUGGCGGCCUGGACUAGGGGUGGGGGACGGGGGGCAGAGGAGGCGAUGGUAGCUUCCAGAAGGUUCCACACGGAACAACCUGCUGCACUUGGGGUGCCCCUGCGUUUAUUGCACGGCACGGCCGUCUCCGCAGGCUCACCCAGGCCGUGGGGACAGGAGGUCCUCGGACACGAAGCGCCCGGGAUGCGCACGGAGGGGUUCUGCACCCGCGCUCCCAGUGUCCCCGCACCUGCGCCCACGUGGCCUCUCACACCUGCGGCCCCAGCCGCCGCGCACGCGGCCCAGCG